rnacentral:rRNA from 1 species
UACAGAGGUCUCAAGCGUUGUUCGGAUUCAUUGGGCGUAAAGGGUGUGUAGGUGGCGCCGUAAGUCGGGUGUGAAAUUUCGGAGCUUAACUCCGAAACUGCAUUCGAUACUGCGGUGCUUGAGGACUGGAGAGGAGACUGGAAUUCAUGGUGUAGCAGUGAAAUGCGUAGAGAUCAUGAGGAAGACCAGUGGCGAAGGCGGGUCUCUGGACAGUUCCUGACGCUGAGACGCGAAAGCGUGGGGAGCAAACAGG